rnacentral:lncRNA from 1 species
CUGGCAUGUCACAAUUCCAAUUGCCUCCAAAAAAGAAAUGAAACUGGGGAAGGAAAUGGCAAACCACUCCAGUAUCUUUGCUCAGAAAACCCCAAAUGUCAUGGAGAGUUGGACAUAACUGAAAUGACUGCACAGCAAGAAGGAAACAGAGAUUAAGUGGGUGUUUAUUUGGGCUGGGUAAGUGGAGAACUUCCCUGAUAAAUGAUGGGCUGUGAUGUAGUGGGUCUGAGAGUAGCAAUAGGUUCUAGAGUAGAGUUCAAGCCAAAAAUAUGACCUCUCUUCUCUGUCAAAAAAUGCUGUCAGACUAACUAGAGUUAGUACUUUAUUCCCUUCCAGUUCUACUGAAUCCAUGAUUUCCAAUGAUUUCUCUUAUUUGGUGAUUCUUGACCCAGGGUGCUUGAAACUAGAUUUGACAAAUAUUUUGAUAACUGCCUUUCUGUCUAACUGGUUUCCUUGUAAUUCUAUAUAUUUCAGAUUCAUGCCUACAAAAACAUGAUGCUGAGAUGGGGUCAGAGACUUCACUAGACUCACUGUGCAAGGGGGCCAGGACACAGAAAAGCUUCUGCUCUAAUUGCCCAAUCAGCCAAGGCCAAAAAGGUCUAAAACUCCAACUUAAGUCAGAUCAGGGAUCCCAGAAACCUAGUUUGAAGAUUUAAAGCGGCAGUUCAGGUGCCCCUGGAGAUGACAGUUGCUUGGUUGUGGGAUAGCUCAGCUGUGGCAAUGUGAGUGCAUGCUGAUAUUCCCAACUGAUUCCUCUCUGGCUUUUGCAGUGGGGAUGUGCUCCAUCCCAGUGAUGAUGGCAUCCAUGGGAGUUUGGGGGUUCUGUUUCCAUGGCAACAAUCCAUAGGAGGUUUUCCCUGCUGAUCCAGAAAGACAGCUUUCUGCAGGGCUGUUCUUUGCCUCGGGUUCCCGUGUGGGUAUGUUACUUCCUCCUUGAAUCAUCUUUGUUUCACUAAUAAUGAUAAUUGGCAAUAAAAGCAGAA